CAAUGGAACAUAUACCUUAUAUAUCUAUAAAUAUUAUAGACUUUCUGGACAUUCAGAUUCCUUCCAUAGAAAUUUCUGAGGCUUUGAGAUCCUGGACUUCUGCUCUCCACAUGGUACAGUCAGUUGUAACACAGGAAAUCUCAUUUAGGAACAUAUGCAGGGGAAAUGGUGAUCACUUUGCUAAGUCCUGGUUUAUCACUUAUCUCCGUCACUUCCUGGCAUCAUAGCUAUCUCACCUGAUCUUACUUUCCACUAGAUUAGAGCCCAUUCUAGGCCAUCACCCAAAAACUGGAGGAGACCUUUUGGUACUUGUAAUUUGAGUUUAUUUUCAUGUAUUUAGUUUGUUUUGAUGCAAAAUAUAAAUUUAAUGAAUAAAAUAAAAUAUCCAGAAUGUCUUUUUCUAAGCCCAGAGGAUAAGCAUUCCUUAGAGUGUAUGUGAUGGAGUAAUAUGACACAUGUUGACUAGAAUAUUACUGAGGCUGCCAACAGAGAGAGCAACACAAACAAAAGUAUGGCUUAAAGUUCCUAAAGCUUUGAUUUGUUGCCUUCUUGAAAGGAGGUAGUCUUAAUGUACUCCUUAUGUGCCAUUACGACAUCUUUACCUCUGGAUAUUUAUAUUUAUUUAUCAGUUUAUGAUAGUUAUUGAUUUUUAACAGUUAUGUUAAGUAUCUUGAAGAAACACAUGUAAAGAUAUUUUCAAAAUUCAUAGUUUGCUGUUAAUCACUUAUGUCCUGAAACUAUCGCUAAGCAAAAGUUUUCAUUAUGUGUACUUUGAGGGAGUAUAAAUUUAAUUUAGUGUGAGAAGGAUAAAACCCAGGAUUCAUCACCAUCAUUUCAAACCAGACACUGUGAUCCUGGAGCUUUUGCUUUGUUUUUGUUUUAAUGGGUUGAGAGAGGCUUCCUGAUUUGCUUCUUGGUUGAUUUUUUAAUAUAUUUGGUAGUGUCAACAUUGAGGCUCACCAGAUCUCUGGCAAAGCCCAUUGUGAGGAAUAGCUGGGCCAGUGUUUUAACUUUGGAAUAUACUGAAAGGAUCAUAUUCUAUCAUUGAGAGUCUUUUACUUAGAUGGCAUUACUGAAUGUACAUUUUCAGAAAUUAUUUUGAAGAAUCACAUCAAAGAUGAAGCUCAUCAAGAAUACGCAAAAGAACUCUACAGAUUUAGUGCAAUCUCUGUCAAAAUACCAACAGCAAUCUUCACAGAAAUAGAAAAAAAAAACCCUAAAAUAUAUAUGGAACCACAAAAGAAUCAGAAUAGCCAGAAUAGCCAGAGCUAUCCUAAGCAAAAAGAAAAAAAAAAAAAAGCUGAAGCAAUCAUAUUGUCUGACUUCAAAUUAUACUAUAGAGGUUCAGUAACCAAAACAGCAGGAUACUGGCAUGAAAAAAGACGCAGACAUCAAUGGAACAGAAUAGAGAACCCAGAAACAAAUGCACACACCUACAGUGUACUCAUUAUUAAUAAAGUCACCAAGAACAUACACUGGAAAAAAGACAGUCACUUCAAUAAGUGGUGCUGGGUAAAUUGGAUAUACGCAGAAGGAAACUGGACCCCUAUCUCUCACCAUAUACAAACAUUAAAUUAAAAUAGAUUAAAAAGUUAAUCUAUUUUAACCUAAGACCUUAACUUUGAAACUACUACAAGAAAACAUUGGGGAAAAAUCUCCAGGACAUUUAUCUGGGGCAGAGAAUUUUUGAGCAGUAACUCACAAGCAUAGGCAAUCAAAGCAAAUGGACAAAUGAGAUCAUAAGUUGAAAAGCUACUGCACAGCAAAGGAUACUAUCAACAACAUGGAGAGACAGCCCACAGAAUGGAAGAAAACAGUUGCAUAUGACUCCUCUGACAAGGAAUCGAUAAUCAGAAUAUAUAAGGAGCUGAAACAGCUCUACAGAAAAAAAUCUAAUAAUCUGGUCAAAAAAUGGGCAAUAUAUUUGGAUAAACAUUUCUCAAAAAAAAAAAAAAAAAAAAAAGAACCUACAUGAAAAGGUGCUCAACUCCAUUAUCUUCGAAGAAGUGCAAAUUAAAACUACAAUGUGAUAGAAGGAGGGUUACCAGAGGCUGGGAAGGGUAGCAGGAGGUUGUGGGAGAGGCGAGGAUGGGUAUCGGUUUCCAAAAAAAAAAAAAAAUAGAAAGAAUGAGUAAGACCUACUAUUCGAUAGUACAAUAGUGUGACUAUAGUUAAUAAUUGCUUAAUUGCAAAUUUUAAAAUAACUUAAAAAUGUAAUUGGAUUGUUUGUAACUCAACAAUAAAAUUAAAGAACAUGGUGGAGGGCAAAAAAAAUUUUAAAUACAAAAAAUCAAAAUAAUGCCAUGAAAUAAGUAAACUGGAUAUUCACAUAAUGAAAUGGCUACUUUUGAAAAGGGUUUAAUUUUUAUAUAACUAUAAAAGGUAGCCUCCCACUACCCUCCCCAGCCUCUGGUAACCCUCCUUGUACUCUCUUUUUUUGAAUUAUGUUGUUUUGGUUUUUAGAUCCCAUAAGCAAAUGAGAAUAUGCCAUGCUUGUUUUUACUGUGCCUGAAUAGUUUAGAAUAGCUCUAUGAGAAAAUCCCAGAUUUUUCCAAAAUAAUAGAGUUAAACUUAAGAUUUUUAAAAACAGUUGUCUCUUUUCUAGUUUCUUCAAUAAAUGUGUUUUUUAAAAAUAUAUAUAUUUAAGAAAUUUUAGACCAGGCAUGGUGGCUCAUACCUAUAAUCCCAGCGCUUUGGGCCGCCAAGGCAGGUGGAUCGCCUGAGCCCAGGCAUGCAAACCAUCCUGGCCAACAUCAGGAAACCCUAUCUCUACUAAACAUACAAAAAUUAGCUAGGUGUGGUGACAGGCACCUGUAAUCCCAGCUUCUUGGGAGACUGAGUCAGAGUCACUUGAACCAGGGAGAUGGAGGCUGCAGUGAGCUGAGAUGGCACCACUGAACUCCAGCCUGGGUGACAGAGCAACACUCCAUCUGAAAACAAAAACAAAAACAAACAAAAAAACAAAGAGAAAUUUUGAACAAGAUACAGACAAUUCCAAAAGGGCAAGCAGUAUGGCAUGUGAUUCAGAACAGGGUCUUCAAAAUACAGAUCCUGAUUUGGUCAUUGCAGGCCAUGUGUCUUUGAUAAAACACCUUUGCUCAAUUACUUACAUAGUAAAAAGGGGACAAUAAGGGUGCUAGUUUCUAAUAUAGCUGAGAGGGUUGCAUCAGAAUGUCUUCAGUAAUUUUAGCACAUUCCCUGUCACUAAGUGAUAUUAAUGGUUAUGUUCAUAAUGCCAUUAACAAAUUUAUUACUUUCCAAUCAGAAAACAAAACAAAUUUAGGACAAUCACAUAUUAAGAAUCAAUUUUUUUAACAAAUAAGGUUAUGGCUUUAGUUUUUAAUUGAAAUAGAUAAUUAAGCACGUUCUCUUAAUCAUUUUGUAAAAUUUAUUGUGUUUUUCCAUAUGCCAAGUUGUUAACAAUUCUAUUUUCUUAAUCUCUCAAGGUUGCCACAUUUCAAUAGAAAUAGCUAUUAAAAUAGUGAUUUUUUUCCUUCUACUUGUAUCUGAACAUCAUUUAUUUAUUUAAUCCAAAAGCUGAAGAAAUGAAAAAUUGGGAGAUAGUGGUUUCACUGUUCACAGACCAGCUUUCCCACUGGCUCAGUGACCUCAAAACAAAUUGGUUUACUCCUCUGUGCCUCUGGGCCAAUGAAGAAGCUUUCAGCUGCCAACUAGAGAAGAAACUCCUGAGAAUGCCUUUAGCAAGAGCACAGCUGAGGCAGAUUAGCUCCAGGGCUGGUUAAUUCAGUGUCCCAAGGACAAUAUUUAAGAUCUAAGGUUUCUUCCCGACUGUGUUUCCCGAAUUCCUCAGUAUUUGUUUUCUUCUCAUAUUUUCCCUUCAUGAACUCAUGUUGGCUCUGCAGGACCAGGCAUUACCCAGACACAUAACUCUAGCAGAGAGAGGAAUGAGCAUGUCUUUUCUUUUGUAUCCUUCAUAAGACUGAGAAUAUCCUUCCUACAACUCUCCACCUCAGGAUCUCCCUGACAUGCCACUAUUCAGAACUGGGUCACAUGUCACCCCAGUCACUGCCAAGAGUAGUGAGAUUGCUUUGCUUGGUUAGAGUGGUUAGAUUAAUCAGGAUUUAUCUCUUAGGUGGAGAGGGUUUCUUCUUUGUAAGUUGGAUAGUUUAGCAAAAUUUACUUUAGGAUUGAAAGGACUUGGGUAACAGUGUACAGUAUCUGCCAAAGCCUUAAUUUUUUUAGCCUAUAAAAUAGGACAAAGUUCAGUUUUAUCUAGGUCACAGAAUUUUUAAAGGAUAAAUGAUAUAAUGUCAGCUCAUGGAGUUAUAAGCAAGCCUAGGACUCUCAAAUGAACAGCAGUGCUUUCAUGAUAAGUAUAAGGAUCCUUGGCCAGUUAUGUAUAAAUGCAACCCUAGUUUCUUCUUUACCUCCUUGCCCACUGUUCACCCAUGGCUUUCAGCAUUCAUUUAUUUUUACAUCGAUCCCCAUUCCAAAUUCACAUGACGAUAAAAGGUACAAACCAGAUGACUUCCAGUCUUAUUAUUAUCUUAACAAGUUUGCAGGGAGCCAUUAAUAAUGUAGAGCAAAAUGCAGUCCAGGUGAGUAUACCACCAAGAUGCAACUUACAAAGGUAGCUCUAUAGAAGGCAACUUCAUUCCUUGUUGUAAAACUACCGUGUAUUCCUUCUGUGUAAGUGGGCACAGGGAGAACUCAAAGGCUUUAUGGCUUAGCAUGCAUGCUCUCUUACCAGACACUGUUUUUGUCCCUUGUUGUGGCCAUUCUGAGUUUUUUUUAUGCAAAUGUGACCCACUAAGAAGGAUUGAUUUGUGCUCAGGUCUCAGCCAAUGCCCAUUUUCUUAUGCCCUGGGAUUUGUUUCGUAGCUGCCCCUGGCCCUGCGGUUGAGGUUUCUCACCAGUUCGAUUCUAAUAUGUGAACACUUUCCUUCGAUUCUCUCUGCCUGAUUUCCCUUUGCAUUUACCUGCUCCCAUCAAUGCAAAACACUGAACGGUUCAGAUUGAUUUUCCUUCUCAAAACAUGAAAGGUCUGUUUUUCAAACUUCAGUGUUUUCUAAGGAAAUAUCUCUGAUCAAUAUGUGUAAGAAUUAAGGGAAAACACCAGACUCCUCCUUCUGAUUGUCAGUAACUCAAAGCAACUUGUUUACCUAUUUGUAUUCUUCCCAGCAGAAAACGUUAACAAUUGCAAUUAUCACCAUUAUGCAGUAUGUUCAAUUGUACAAUCAAUGUAAUUGCCAAAUGGAAAUUAUACAAUAAAUAUAAUUGCUGCUUUACUCCUGUGUGGUAUUUCAGUGGCACUUCGCAUUUAUUUUGUCCUUUAAUUAGUAACAGGUAUAAUUACAGCACUACACUCAGAGCUGAAGCUGAGUAAUUUGUGGGAGUGAGCAUAGGGUACAGAUAUUGAAAGGGGGCUGCUGUGACUCAUUCUUUGUUGGAAUUGUCUAAAUACAUCCACCUAUUGUCUAAAAUCCACCUAACGGCCCCAAAUUGAGCUGACCUGUGGACACAUUUGGUGUAAACGCCAGGUGAAAAAUUCCCUGCAGUUCAUGAAAUAGGUGACUUUGCCAUCCUUCUGCUUGGCUUCCUGCAUCCCAUUGUGCCUAUCAUUUGUCUAUCUAGAUGAAUGUGUUCAUUCAUUAAUUUAAUAAGUAUUUAUUGAGCACUGAUUAUUUGCCAGGUAUUAUUUUACCUGCAGGAGGUAUGUAGUGAACAAGAGAGGCAUGACGCUUAAGUUCUAGGGGAAAAAUACAGAGACUACAUAAGGAGCCAAUCAAGUGAUAGCAAGUCGAAGGUGAUUUGUGCUUUAAAACAUGCUAAGAAGAAAAAGUUACUAUGAUAUCAUAAUAUCUUUUGAUUGCAUGGUCAGGGAGAACAACUUUCCAAGACCUGAUAUUUAGCUUGAGAUAACAAUGAGGCAGGUUGUUCAAGGGGGGACGGAAGAAGGAGGGAAGAGAGAAAGAGAGAGAGAGAGAGAGUCUGUGAGGUGCGCUGGAAGAGGUAGAGAGAGAAGGGCUUAGAUUUAGAGGGUUUCCACAUGAUAACAGGGAAUUUGACAUUUAUUAUAAGUGUUACGGGAAACCAGUGGAGAGUAUGGUGCACAACAGUGGCAUAACUUGAUUUCCGUUUUCUUUUCCUUUUAUUUUUUAGACAGAGUCUUACUUUGUCACCCAGGCUGGAGCACAGUGGCACGAUCUUGGCUCACUGCAACCUCCGUCUCCAGGGUUCAAGUGAUUCUCCUGCCUCAGCCUCCUGAGUAGCUGGGAUUCCAGGUGUGUGCCACCACGCCCAGCUAAUUUUUGUAUUUUCAGUAGAGACAGGGUUUUGCCAUGUUGGCAAGGCUGGUCUUGAACUCCUGACCUCAAGUGAUCCACAGGCCUCAACCUUGCAAAGUGCUGGGAUUACAGAUGUGAGCCACCGUGGUGGGCCUUGCUUUCCAUUUUAUACAAAGUCUAUUUUGGUUCUCGUAUAAAAACUGAUUGUAGAGUAACAAGAAAGGAAAGAAAGCAGAUAGGGAGAAAAUUGCCACAGUCUGGGUACACGUUUCUGGUUGCUUGACUUAGGAUGGUUCUGGUUAAAAGAACCAUCCUAGGAGAUGAAAAGAAAUAGAAUGAUUAGAAGAGCAUUGGAAGUGGAUGGCUAUUGACUGUUGACAGAAUUGAUGUGAACAGUGAGUUGAAGAAUUAAAUUCCGAAUGGUGCUAAGCUUUUGGCUUGGAAGUUACUGGAAGUCUUAAAAAAAGAACAGUAUUAUUAAUAAGAAAACAAAGCUUUUUCCAUUUGAAAUACUGUUAGACAUCCAGGUAGACUAUUGGAUAAAUAUCCUAAAGGGGAGUAGUCAAAUGACAUAAGCAUCAGGAACAGUAGACAGAAGAGAUCUCAGGAUUGAGCUGUGAGUUUUUGCAACAUUUAGAGGUUCCACAGUAAGGAAGACUCAGCAAAGACAACUGAAUAAUAACAACUAGUGAGGCUGAAGGAAAACAGGGAACCACUCCAUCCAAGAGAACCUGUAUCAAGAAGAGAAACAUUAACGAUGUGAAAUUUUGCUAAGAGACUAAGAUGAAAGCAAAGCUGUGUGGCUCUGCAUUUGGCAAUGUGGAGGCUGCCAUUGACCUUGUCAGAACAGCUUUAGUGGAGUUUCUAGGCUACAUAUAUGAUAUGUGUGGGUUGAAAAAAAAAGUGAGGUGAGGAAAUGAAGACAGCAUGCACAGAUGAUUUUUGAAGUGCUAUGACAAAGAACAAGAAGCCCAGUUGUAGGUGGAGAGGCACAUGGGUCAAAGAGAGGCUGUUGGAUAUUUCUGUAUGCAAGUAAGUGAGAAAAGUGAGAAGUGGAUGUUGCAGGGUGGGAGGUGGAGUGCUUUGAGAACAAGUCCUUGAGUAGAUGAGACAUGGAAUGCAGAGUAUAAGCGAAGAGGGUGCCUCAGAUAGGAACAGAGGCUUGUCUUCCUCUGUGAUGGGAGAGAAGGCGAGAGUGUAGGCAUGGAUUCAGGAAGGUCAGUGUGUGAUUGUGGGAGGACUGUUGCUACCUCCCCGUAGUUCGUGAUCUAGAGGAGAGAGACACAUCGUACACAGCUCACUGUAUGAGUCAGACAGCGGUCUGAGCAGACAGCAAUAACUGCUGUGAGAGGGCACUGGUGGGAGGAAUUUGCCUACCAAAGUUUACAGUGCAGGUGGCAUCUGACUUUCGUGUUAAUUAAUACGUAUUAUUAUGCAGUUAUUUGACUUAUACAUCAACAGGUAUAAGGGAAUUUCCUCUAGAAGACCCCCUGUGAAAGACAUUGUAUCAAGAAAGACCAAGAAAGGCAUACAGGUUGAUUUCUUGUUCUUAGUAAAGUUACUCUUCCCCAGAACCCUCUCAGGCAUCAGUGCCUUUUCAAAGCCCCGUUCUCCUUUGAAACCUUCCUCUCUCCCUUUCCUUGGCUAUUUUCUAAUUAUCUUGCAAGGCUAAGUUGAAGUAUUCUUCUUCUAAAAAGCCUUCCCAAAGCCUACCCCACAAAACCCUUAUCAAUUUGAAUUAGAUCCUUCCUAGAUGUAGAUAGAGCAAAAUAAUGGCUUCUACUUUUUUGAUGUGUUGGCAUGACUUUUGGCUUUAUCCACCUGGUACAACAAGAAGCGUCUAUAGUGGUAGCCACGCUAGAGCAAAACGAUAUUCUGAGACCCAGAGGACUAGAAUGAAGGCUGCCAGAAGAGAACCGUGCUUGCAGUGUUGGAAAAAAUUAUUGCUCAUGUCUCCAUGGACACGAGCAGCUGAAUCUAGCUUUUCACUUUACUUUGGUUGAAGACCGUUUCAACAUGUAUCAUGAAAUAAACAUACAAAUAAUGAAAAUCAGAAACAAAACUCUCAGCAUAUGGGUCAGAAAUCCUACUCAGUUUCAAAGUAUAGGACAUUUUAGGUGGGACUUAAGUAGUAUCAGCACCAUUUCCACAGCCCAGGGAUGAAUUUUAUUGUGGUCUUUGUUAGGAAAGUUCAAUGGAACAAGCCUCCUGCCCCCAGCCCCUGCCAUAUCUCUAUAAAACAGUCAUAUGCUAUGGAAAAGGCUUUAGUUCUUAGUCUGAAUAUAGUGGCAGGAUAAUAUCACCUGCACCAUAGAUACCCAUGCACCAACCCCCAGAACAUGUGAGUGUGUUAUGUGACAUGUCAAGAGAGAAUUAAGUUUGUGGAUGGAAUUAAGGUUGCUAAUCAGUUGACACUGAAAUAGGAAGAUUAUCCUGCACUACUUGGGUAAAACUAAUGUAAUGACAAGGGCUCUUAUAAGUAAAUGAGAGAGGCAAGAGAGUCAGUGUCAGAGAGAGACAGCAUGAAAAGAACUUGACUGGGCAUUUCUUGUUCUAAAGACAGAAGGUGGCCACAGAUGAAGGAGCAUAGGUUAGAAAAGGCAAGAAGAUGGAUACGUCCCCUACAGUCUCCAAAAGGAGUACAGCUUUGCUGAUAUGUUCAUUUUAGUCCAACGAGACUAGCUUCAGAUGUUUGACCUGCAGGAUGGUCUCAGUGUACAAGAUCUCUACAUGAGCUACAGUGAGUGGUGAUAAGGAAGAGAGUGAACGGCAGGUGCAGGAAUGCCCAUAUAAUUGGUGAGCUCUUUCUCCAGCUGCUGUGUCCAGGAGAUAUGCGCUGAUGUUAAGACAAUCCCUGAAGUCCUUGGUAGAAAGGCCCUUAGGAAUCACUCUAUCCUAUUUAGAUUGAUUCCUGAGAAAGUUAAAGCUACCCCAAACCCAGUUCUGUUACUCAGAGUUCCCGACACAAUUCUCUGAGUUGUCUAGUGAGUAGAAAUAGAAGCCAAAGGUUCAUGGAAGUCCAUAAAUGCACUGUACAUCUUAAACAUUUAAGAAAACCCUGUCCAUCUUGAAAGUGGAUCAUGAAUCUAAGAGUCAGGGUCAUUCUCUGUGACAGCAAUCAAGGUGAGAGCAACCAACUAGCUCUCACAGGAAGUUUUGGUAGGCAGAAACUUCAUUGAUUUGUCUGCCUUCACGAGAGCAAGUGAAUGAAUGUUUUGUUUAAAGGGAAUCUCCUCUUUUGAACAAUAUAAGUCUUAUUUUCUUCAAAGGGUUAUGUGUUAUCAAGGAACUUGAUGUGCCCAGGGGUUAAACUUAGUUUUCUUGAGUUCCAUUUCUGUAUAAAGGCUCCAGGAUACUUUCUGUAGGGAUUAAGUGUUAGGCACACAACUCUCCCACACAAAACUAAAAAUUGUUCUGCAAAUAUGGAGAGUAUAGAAAAUUUGGUAAUAUGUGCAAAAUGAUGAGAAUGGUACACAGAACAGAGUGCAGUGUGUCUGUAUUAUGCUCUGUGAUCUGGCAUAGGUUCAAUUAUAUUUUGAUUGAUAAUUUUUUUAUAAAUACAUGCUUUGGAAGGUGACCUGUCUUUCUUUCUCCUAAAGGUAAUGUUAUGCCUCUACCUGUGUAUCUUAUCCUAGAUCAACAACACUGGAUGAGAGAAGAGCAUAUGAAGGACCAUGUGAUAUUUAUCUUAAGAUAAUACUAGAAGAAUGGAGGCUAUUCUAGAACUUAAUUGACUUCAGAUAAAUCUGAGAAACAAGAAUCUUGAAUCUUUAAGCUAGUCAUAAUUUCCCUCUUAGAAAAAUUUGUCUCUAAUUUGUUUAUUCCCCAAAUACGUAAUUAUUGUAAAAGAAAUAGAAGCAAUAACUAAAUUCUUCACUAAUAAAGCUGACUUUUUUUAAAUGGCAUUUGACAUCUUAUAGUAUUAUUUAGAAUAUUAUAGUGACAUAGUCUUAUCAAGAAAGAGAGCAUUUAAUUACAAAUUUAUAAAGCAACUAGAUUGAAAAUUAAUGAAAAUUUUGUACACAAUAGUUGAUGUUACCUUAUGAAAAAUAAAACCUUACAUGGUUGUUUCAUUAAAAGUCCCUGCUUCUAAUACAUAGCUAUUAUUUUAUAUUCACUAAAAAUAUGUGGAAGGAAACACUGAAAAUAUCACUUGAAGAUAGACACAGCUUGUCAGGCUUCUUUUAUGAUUUUUCAGAUGCAAUAUGGAAGAAAAAGACAUAUAAACACUAUUUCCUUGAGUGGUAGAUCAAAUAAAGGACAGUUUUUUUUUUUUUUUAAUUCUUGUAACAGCUCUUGGUGAGGUAGAACAAAAUAAAAGAUGGUUUAGAACAAGAGAAUAACAUUUAUAUCACUUGGCUGUCUUAUUUGUAAGAAAGUAGACAAAUUCUUUGCAGAUAGGUAACAGUACUACCUGGUGCUAUUUGAGUGGGAUAUAUUUCCAGGAUGUAGUUCAUUAAAAUAAGAAAAGGUGACUUAAAAACCUUCUACUUCUUAUACAAUCACACUUAUCAACCCAGGUUAAUUGGGAGAAAGGCUAUAUUUCUAUCUGAGAUUUAGAAAAGUAUUAUUUCAUUCAUUUAUUCACUCACUCAUUCAUUCACCCCUCCUCUUCAAAUUCAUGAAACAUCAUUUGGGUGCAAGGCUAUGAUUCUAACUAAUGUACUGAAAAUAACUCAAGCAAGGAUAACUAAGAAUAUAUACUAAUUAUUUAAUUCAUGAAUCAAUUUGUUCAUUUUUUAUUGCCUAUUAUGAUGUGUAAUACCAAAUUUCUCAAACCUAAGCCAAAACUGUGAAGCACAUUUGUAGUGAAUAUAUUAACUGAUCUGUUAAUAGUCCAAUUUAUUUAUGCAAAUAUAUGUUUAUGGCCCUUAAAGUCAAUUUUCUUAAAUAGAAAUAGUUUUAGGCAGUUUAUGUAAAAUGUUGAUUUUCUUGUCUAUUUGCACUUGCAUUGACUUCCAUAUGGUGAAGUAAUAAAGAUAGCUAUUUGUUACUUGGUAGAUUUUCACCUGUCAAUGCAACAUUUGGACCACUGCAUAUAAAACCAGAUUUUUAGAUAAGGGUCAAGGAAGCAAUCUACACUUGGUGCCUACGAUAUUAAAAGUUUUUCUGUGUCAAUCUAGUUUUCAAAUAACAUCUUUGUUCUUUCAAAUGGCUUAAAGUUUGAUGCCACUAUCUGGGUUAUUGAAUGUGUGUGUGUGUGUUGCCAGGAAGUAGAAUAAAGAAAGGACUAUAUUCGUAUCGCAGCACUAUGACAUCAUUAUGUAGAUUGGUGUAUCCCUUCAGCCUCAGUAUCCUUAUCUGAAAAAUGUACGUAAUUACAGGUAGGGUGUUAUGGGGAUUAAAUUCACUCUUUUUCAACACAUUUUUUUAAUGAGCACCUCCUUAAUAUCAGACACUGUUCUAGGUAUUGGAAAUACAAUAGUGAUCAAAACAAAAUAUUGCAGAAGUAACAAUGUGCAUUCUUAGCAUUGUGCUAAAUGUCAUCUACAGUCUUUCGUGCAGCUGGUGUUGUUGCUGAGGUAGUGGUUGGUGGCAGUAGUAUUAGCAGCAGCAGCAGUUCAGUGAUACUUACUGGCUCCUGUACCAGACUGGAUAUUUCCUGACAGACGAUAUGAACUCCUAGUAAACAAUGCCUACUCAAUACCUGUCAUGGAAAAGAGACACACAUAUUUGUUGAAUUAAAGCAUUGACUAUAUGUUUUCAUGCAUAUUUUUGUAAUUAAUAAAUGGAAGAAAGGCAGAGAGAGCACUAGGAUCAGGACCAUGUGAUGGAAAUACUCAGCCUGCUUAUUUCUCACAAGGAAUGAAGGGAUAGGGAUCUAGGACGAACUGGGUGGCAUCGAUGUCUAACAUUAUUUAGCAAGUAAAUCUAUGAUGGGCUCUAACUCUAUCUUUACAACAAACCUAUGGUGCAAGAGGAAGAGAGAAAAUAAGUCACUUGCCCAAGUCAAGCGGCUAGUAUAGUGAUGAGUACAGAAAAGAAUCAGGCCUAUUACUCUCUGAAGGCCUUUCUCCUUCCUUAUCCUCUGAAGUAAAGCUGAGGACUCCUUUUCGGGUGAACUAACACUUAGAGAUAGGAGUUGAGAGUUUCAGAGAAAGGGCUUGCAGUGUCUUAUCCUAUUGCCACUGAAGAAGAAAAAGGCACACCAACUUCAUACUGAGCUAAUCCAAGUUCAGUUUCAAUUAAACAUAAAGAGAUAGCUGGGCUGGGUGCCCAGCACUUUGGGAGGCCAAGGUGGAUGGAUCUUGAGGUCAGGAGUUCGAGACCAGCCUGGCCAACAUAGUGAAACCCCAUGUCUACUAAAACUACAAAAAAUUAGCUGGGUGUGGUGGUGGACACCUGUAAUCCCAGCUACUUGGGAGGCUGAGGCAGGAUAAUUGCUUGAACCUGGGAGGCGGAGGUUACAGUGAGCCAAGAUUGUGCCACUGCACUCUUGCUGGGUGACAGGCAAGACUCAACUGACCAAAAAAAAAAAAAAAAAAAAAAAGAGAGAGACAG